rnacentral:rRNA from 1 species
GACGAACGCUGGCGGCGUGGAUUAGGCAUGCAAGUCGAACGGUAUCAUCCUUUCGGGGGUGAGAGAGUGGCGAACUGGUGAGUAACACGUAGGUUAUCUACCCUCAAGACGGGGACAACCCAGGGAAACUUGGGCUAAUACCGGAUGUGAGCAACUUUUAGUUGUUUGAAAGGUGGCGUAAGCUGUCGCUUGGGGAUGAGCCUGCGUCCUAUUAGUUAGUUGGUGAGGUAACGGCUCACCUAGGCAAUGAUAGGUAGGCGGCCUUAACGGGUGGUCGCCCACACUGGGAUUGAGAUACGGCCCAGACUCCUACGGGAGGCAGCAGUCGAGAAUAGUCUACAAUGGUCGGAAGACUGAUAGUGCGACGCCGCGUGAACGAUGAAUCCCUUCGGGGUGUAAAGUUCUUUUAUAUGUGAGCAGUGCUUCUUAUAUUAACAGUAUGGGGAGAGAGAUAUUAGCAUAUGAAUAAGCAAACGGCUAAACUCCGUGCCAGCAGCCGCGGUAAUA